rnacentral:hammerhead_ribozyme from 17 species
CAAGCGUCUGGGGUAAGUAGUCGAUGUCAUCAGCCCCACUGAUGAGUCUAGGCAGACGAAACGCAAU